rnacentral:rRNA from 1 species
GACGAACGCUGGCGGCGUGCUUAACACAUGCAAGUCGAACGGAAAGGCCCUGCUUUUGUGGGGUGCUCGAGUGGCGAACGGGUGAGUAACACGUGAGUAACCUGCCCUUGACUUUGGGAUAACUUCAGGAAACUGGGGCUAAUACCGGAUAGGAGCUCCUGCUGCAUGGUGGGGGUUGGAAAGUUUCGGCGGUUGGGGAUGGACUCGCGGCUUAUCAGCUUGUUGGUGGGGUAGUGGCUUACCAAGGCUUUGACGGGUAGCCGGCCUGAGAGGGUGACCGGCCACAUUGGGACUGAGAUACGGCCCAGACUCCUACGGGAGGCAGCAGUGGGGAGUAUUGCACAAUGGGCGGAAGCCUGAUACAGCAACGCCGCGUGCGGGAUGACGGCCUUCGGGUUGUAAACCGCUUUCGCCUGUGACGAAGCGUGAGUGACGGUAAUGGGUAAAGAAGCACCGGCUAACUACGUG